UUGGUUUUCUUUUAAAAGGAUGGCUCUGCUAUCAUUUCUGGAUGGACCCCGCGGCGCAUUUAGCUAAGUUGGUGAAGGUAACAGCUCACCCAAGGCGAUGAUGCGUAGCCGACCUGAGAGGGUAAUCGGCCACAUUGGGACUGAGACACGGCCCAGACUCCUACGGGAGGCAGCAGUAGGGAAUCUUCCACAAUGGACGCAAGUCUGAUGGAGCAACGCCGCGUGAGUGAAGAAGGGUUUCGGCUCGUAAAGCUCUGUUGUUAAAGAAGAACGUGGGUGAGAGUAACUGUUCACCCAGUGACGGUAUUUAACCAGAAAGCCACGGCUAACUACGUGCCAGCAGCCGCGGUAAUACGUAGGUGGCAAGCGUUAUCCGGAUUUAUUGGGCGUAAAGCGAGCGCAGGCGGUCUUUUAAGUCUAAUGUGAAAGCCUUCGGCUCAACCGAAGAAGUGCAUUGGAAACUGGGAGACUUGAGUGCAGAAGAGGACAGUGGAACUCCAUGUGUAGCGGUGAAAUGCGUAGAUAUAUGGAAGAACACCAGUGGCGAAGGCGGCUGUCUGGUCUGUAACUGACGCUGAGGCUCGAAAGCAUGGGUAGCGAACAGGAUUAGAUACCCUGGUAGUCCAUGCCGUAAACGAUGAAUAGUAAGUGUUGGAGGGUUUCCGCCCUUCAGUGCUGCAGCUAACGCAUUAAGUAAUCCGCCUGGGGAGUACGACCGCAAGGUUGAAACUCAAAAGAAUUGACGGGGGCCCGCACAAGCGGUGGAGCAUGUGGUUUAAUUCGAAGCUACGCGAAGAACCUUACCAGGUCUUGACAUCUUCUGCCAACCUAAGAGAUUAGGCGUUCCCUUCGGGGACAGAAUGACAGGUGGUGCAUGGUUGUCGUCAGCUCGUGUCGUGAGAUGUUGGGUUAAGUCCCGCAACGAGCGCAACCCUUAUUACUAGUUGCCAGCAUUCAGUUGGGCACUCUAGUGAGACUGCCGGUGACAAACCGGAGGAAGGUGGGGACGACGUCAAAUCAUCAUGCCCCUUAUGACCUGGGCUACACACGUGCUACAAUGGAUGGUACAACGAGUCGCGAAACCGCGAGGUUUAGCUAAUCUCUUAAAACCAUUCUCAGUUCGGACUGUAGGCUGCAACUCGCCUACACGAAGUCGGAAUCGCUAGUAAUCGCGGAUCAGCAUGCCGCGGUGAAUACGUUCCCGGGCCUUGUACACACCGCCCGUCACACCAUGAGAGUUUGUAACACCCAAAGCCGGUGGGGUAACCUUUUUAGGAGCUAGCCGUCUAAGGUGGGACAGAUGAUUAGGGGUGAAGUCGUAACAAGGUAACCGUA
rnacentral:rRNA from 1 species